rnacentral:lncRNA from 1 species
GGAAUGAGAAAGGCCAUGUACAAGAGGAAGUAGUCAGCCGCUAAAUCCAAGGUUGAAAAGAAAAAGAAGGAGAAGGUUCUCGCAACUGUUACAAAACCAGUUGGUGGUGACAAGAACGGCGGUACCCGGGUGGUUAAACUUCGCAAAAUGCCUAGAUAUUAUCCUACUGAAGAUGUGCCUCGAAAGCUGUUGAGCCACGGCAAAAAACCCUUCAGUCAGCACGUGAGAAAACUGCGAGCCAGCAUUACCCCCGGGACCAUUCUGAUCAUCCUCACUGGACGCCACAGGGGCAAGAGGGUGGUUUUCCUGAAGCAGCUGGCUAGUGGCUUAUUACUUGU